rnacentral:lncRNA from 10 species
UGAGUGUUAAAUGGCCAGCAGGAAUUAUCCACUAGAGAAGCGGAAGGGAGAGAAUGGAAAUGGCCGCAUGCAGCUCCUCUCCCUCAGACAGCUCGGGGCUCAGCGGAAUGAGCACAGUCUGCAGGACAAGUGCGGAGGACUUCAGUCCCCUCUACUGUAUAUUGGCUUUAGGACUCAAGUUGUCCCUGAAAUAGAGGAAGGUGUUUUCUAGGGUAGUGGUAAUUAUCACAGUCAAAAAAGUAGGCGAGAGCACUUAGGAAAACUGUGCGGAGAUCGGCUGCUGAUGUGUAAAUACUGCUGAAGCUGCUUAUUCAAGAUUAGAAAACCUGAGACCCAGACGGGGGAAACUGCUUUCCAUGGUUAAUCGUCAACAACUGGCCAGGAUGGGACAGAAGCCCAUACAUAGCCUUCAUUCCAGGGCUCAGAACAAAAAGAAGGCAGUGGCCUGGGCUGCACCUGAGCUUGGCUUCACAUAGGAGGGAUUCUGGAACGCAGGAUCCUGACAACGACCUCAAGGCAGUGAACUCCAAAUUUGACCAAGACGCAGCCUUUGUCCUGUUAUUUUUAUAACCUCCAAGGGAGGACACGGCGCCUGUGGAGGUCAUCAUUUUGAUCGCCCCUGUAAAGCAACACAUUUUUUGGCAAGAAUCCCUGGGACAGAGAAAGAAUUUCUUCUCACUUAUUAUUGAGAAUGUUCUCAUGUCUUGCAAGGCUCACUGCCCAGUAGAAGCUGAAAAGAUUCAGUAUGAGUAAAAGAAGAGAUCUGAAAUUUGCAGCUUGUCAUAGAAAGAACUGAGACUACCAUACACCUAAGAAGUCAAAGUUGCUAUUCAAGGGGAAGUGCAAACACAAGAUGAGGGAAACUGAUGUAUUUAGUGUCUACAUUUUACAAAUGGAUGCUUUUCAUAAUAUGAAAAUACUGCACCAUAAGAUUGCCAGUCACAACAGCACGGCUACAGUGAAAAGUGUCAGUCUUUUUUUUUUCCAGGAUCCCAGUGGAUUUGUUACGGUGAGAAAGCUUCACUUGGAGACAAAGCCAAAACCUUCCUCCCAGGCUCCCUUGGAUGUAGGGGGAAGCAAACUGGCUGUCCAGGCCUCUGAGCCACAUCUACACACCUCAUGAGAGGGCCUGUGCAACAUUGCCUUAGAGAUGGAGAGCAUUGCUUCAGAAUCAGGGAAGCCUAAAUUUCACCCCUGGGGCUGCCCCUUGUGAUCUUGGAUGGCUCCUGACAAGAGGCUGCUGGGGAGGCUCCUGCUCCCUGCCUUUCGGGACUGCCGUGGAUUGCCCAUUGAUGGGUCAAAAUCCAGCUACCUGGUAAUUCAAUGAGUCCCUAGUGUGCAUCCAAUAAAUUAUCUUCUGUUUAAAUUAGAACAAACUGUUUUUAAUCUGUGUGCUAAGAAUCUCAUUAAAUGCAUCAUAAAUUUCAAAAUCAAAAACUAAAUAAAAC